GACAGCGGUUGCAAACGUUGUUCGGAAUUACUGGGCCUAAAGCGCACGUAGGCGGUCCGUUAAGUCAUGUGUGAAAUCCCCCGGCUCAACCGGGGAAUUGCGCCUGAUACUGGCGGGCUAGAGAUCGAUAGGGGUGAGCGGAACUCCAGGUGGAGCGGUGAAAUGCGUAGAUAUCUGGAGGAACACCGGUGGCGAAAGCGGCUCACGGGAUCGAAACUGACGCUGAGGUGCGAAAGCUAGGGUAGCAAACGGG
rnacentral:rRNA from 1 species